UACGUAGGGUGCGAGCGUUGCCCGGAUUUAUUGGGCGUAAAGCGCGCGUAGGCGGGUUGGUAAGUCCGCUGUGAAAGCCCGGAGCUCAACUCCGGAGGGUCGGUGGAUACUGCCAGUCUUGAAGGUGCUAGGGGGAGAUGGAAUUACCGGUGUAGCGGUGAAAUGCGUAGAUAUCGGUAGGAACACCAGUGGCGAAGGCGGUCUCCUGGGGCAUUCUUGACGCUGAGGCGCGAAAGCUGGGGGAGCGAACGGG
rnacentral:rRNA from 1 species